rnacentral:rRNA from 1 species
AUUGAACGCUGGCGGAAUGCUUUACACAUGCAAGUCGAACGGCAGCACGGACUUCGGUCUGGUGGCGAGUGGCGAACGGGUGAGUAAUGUAUCGGAACGUGCCCAGUCGUGGGGGAUAACGUAGUGAAAAUUACGCUAAUACCGCAUACGAUCUAUGGAUGAAAGCGGGGGAUCGCAAGACCUCGCGCGAUUGGAGCGGCCGAUAUCAGAUUAGGUAGUUGGUGGGGUAAAGGCCGCCCAAGCCAACGAUCUGUAGCUGGUCUGGGAGGACGACCAGCCACACUGGAACUGAGACACGGUCCAGACUCCUACGGGAGGCAGCAGUGGGGAAUUUUGGACAAUGGGCGAAAGCCUGAUCCAGCCAUUCCGCGGGCAGGAUGAAGGCCCUCGGGUUGUAAACUGCUUUUGUACAGAACGAAAAGGUUUCUACUAAUACUAGGAGCUCAUGACGGUACUGUAAGAAUAAGCACCGGCUAACUACGUGCCAGCCGCCGCAGUAA